rnacentral:rRNA from 1 species
AUUGAACGCUGGCGGCAGGCCUAACACAUGCAAGUCGAGCGGUAGCACAAGAGAGCUUGCUCUCUGGGUGACGAGCGGCGGACGGGUGAGUAAUGUCUGGGAAACUGCCUGAUGGCGGGGGAUAACUAGUGGAAACGGUAGCUAAUACCGCAUAACGUCGCAAGACCAAAGUGGGGGACCUUCGGGCCUCACGCCAUCAGAUGUGCCCAGGUGGGAUUAGCUGGUAGGUGGGGUAACGGCUCACCUAGGCGACGAUCCCUAGCUGGUCUGAGAGGAUGACCAGCCACACUGGAACUGAGACACGGUCCAGACUCCUACGGGAGGCAGCAGUGGGGAAUAUUGCACAAUGGGCGCAAGCCUGAUGCAGCCAUGCCGCGUGUGUGAAGAAGGCCUUCGGGUUGUAAAGCACUUUCAGCGAGGAGGAAGGGUAAUGUGUU